GACGAACGCUGGCGGCGUGCUUAACACAUGCAAGUCGAGCGAGGCCCCUCCUUCGGGAGGGUGUCCUAGCGGCGAACGGGUGAGUAACACGUGGGCAACCUGCCCUCAUCUCUGGGAUAACUCCCUGAAACCGGGGCUAAUACCGGAUACGACCUCCACUGGCAUGUGCGGAGGUGGAGAGUUUUUCGGCUGAGGCUGGGCCGGCGGCCUAUGACCUAGUUCGUGGGGUAGUGGCACACCAAGGCGACGACGGGUAGCCGGCAUUAGAGGGGGGCCGGGCACCCUGCGCCUGAGACAGGGACCAGACUCCUACGGGAGGCAGCAGUGGGGAGUAUGACGCAGUGGGCGAGAGCCUGUCGCGGCGACGCCGCGAGAGGGACGAAGGGCUUCGGGUUGUAAACCUCUUUCAGCAGGGACGAAGCGAAAGUGACGGUACCUGCAGAAGAAGCCCCGGCCAACUACGUG
rnacentral:rRNA from 1 species